CAUGCUCUCCUGAGGAUCACAUAGCUAGCAUGCAUUGGCACAACAUUACAGUAUAUUAUGUCCAUGUAGUUGCCAGUAGUAAAGGUCACCAUAAUUUGUUUGGUGACUUUUACUUUGCCACACUCAUUCAACCACUCGAGCUAGUAUGGAUUGGGGUGGUCUAUGCACAUCAACUCUAAUCUCUCCACAAGCAAGGUGUUUGCAACAUUAUCAUAGCUUCCUCCAUCGAUGAUCAUGCCAUACACCUUGUUGUUGAUUAGGCAGCGAGUGUGGAAUAUGCUUUUCUUUUACUCAUGAUCCUCGCCCUUAAUGUGUAAGUUAAGAGUUCUUCAAAUAAUGAAGGCAUUACUCCAACUGAGAGUUCCUUCAAUCGAUCGAGACAUGAUGAAGUACCUACAAGAAAAGGUUAGUGAAAGCAAAUAAACUCUCUCCCUCACCUUCACU
rnacentral:lncRNA from 1 species